GAGGGUAUAGCUCAGUGGUAGAGCGCAUGCUUAGCAUGGACAAGGUUCAAUUCCCAGUACCUCCA
rnacentral:tRNA from 1 species